ACACUGGGCUCUCAACGUGGUGUGGAAGGUAGCCUGUUACAGUGCUGGAUUCAUAAAAGGGCCUUUAUGGUUUGUGAAAGAAUAUCUGUGUGCUUAGGGAGGAAACUUUUUGAUCUGCAGAAAAGCCAGAAGACAUCUAGGACAUCCAUAAAAAUUCAUCAGAGAGCAUUUUACUACUGAGCUGCAAAGAUCAACCACCUCAGAAGAGCCAGAUUCCACUUCUGUGGCCAGGACUUUUACAUUAUGGCUGGUGUCUGAUGAUUUGUGAGCCUCAAGUGACUACUCUGUGGAAUCAUCUGUCCUUGCCUUUGAAUUAGCUUUCCCUAGGCCAUGAGUCAACAUUAGUAGUUUAUACAUCCAAAUUGAUGACAAGAGCACCUCAAAGGCAGCAGCCUCAAGGAGCAGCCAUGGCCCCAGACUUGUCGCACGGAUGCAGAAAACUUAAUGGAGGAGGCUGAGGUCAGAAUGGGAAGAGUUUUUAAAAAAUAAAAAGGGGAGCUAAUAUGU
rnacentral:lncRNA from 1 species